GAGCUACACAGCAGUCACACAUCAGACAUGGAUUGGUUUGAGUUGUAUUUCUUGCUGCUUAUGAGUUUGCUGCCUUUUUACAGCGCAGCACUAAACACCACGACACCUGCCACAGAAAGCAACAACACUACAGAAGGCAGAACAGAAAACAUCACAAGCACAUUUUCAACAUCCACGCCCAUUUAUGGUUGUGCAGGUCCUCCCAUGCUGUGCUGCAAUGGGCUGGAGAGCUCCUGCUACAGGGGGUGUUUCUGUGACAGUCUCUGUGAAGACGUGGGGGACUGCUGUCCUGACUACUAUUCAACUUGCUUUGCCAACAGUACAACAGCUGCACCAGCCUUGAACGCUACAACAGGUAGCAGUGCCACGGCAGUGAUUGCCUACCUAGACAUUUCUGUGGAAACUUAUGAGAGUAAUGAGGGUUUGAUUGCAAGGGCUAUUUCUAAGUUCUUCAAGGAGAAAUGCGAUGACUGCACGGUGGAGAUCAAAAAAAUCCAUCUCACCUGACAUGGAGGAGUGAAAUAUGGCUAAAAAUGUCCUGUGACAGCCUGAAGGACUCCCAGGAUCAUCAGACAUAUUAAAGACCAGUACCUACUUGAAGAUUCAAACAAUAAAUGACAGGAUCUUUUAAUCA
rnacentral:lncRNA from 1 species